CAAUAGCGUAUAUUAACGUUGUUGCAGUUAAAAAGCUCGUAGUUGGAUUUCUGGAGGGAGCGUCGGCCCGUAUUUACGAGUGCGUGACGUCUCUGUCCAUCCUUGCGGGAAGGCACGGCAUUGAUUUGUUGUGUCGGAUCGCAUCAUUUACUGUGAAAAAAUUAGAGUGUUCAAAGCAGGCUUUCGCUUGAAUACAUUAGCAUGGAAUAAUAAGAUAGGACUUUGGUGCUAUUUUGUUGGUUGAGCCUAAAGUAAUGAUUAAUAGGGAUAGUUGGGGGCACCUGUAUUGCGUUGUCAGAGGUGAAAUUCUUGGAUUUACGCAAGACAAACAGCUGCGAAAGCGUCUGCCAAGGAUGUUUUCAUUG
rnacentral:rRNA from 1 species